UCUGAAUUGAGUUGCUGCAUUAAGGCCUCCCUCAGUGUUGGAAGCAUGGACAGCACUGUAAUACAAGCAGAAAAUUCAAAAGUACCAGGGAUUGAACUCGGGACCUCAUGCUUGCCAGGCAGGCACAAUGCUGCUGAGCUACAUCCCCAGGUCUAAACAUACAUCAUGAUCAGCAAUGUAAACAAACACAUGCAGAAGAAAGAAGAAAGAAUCCUAGUGGUGAUCUCUGGGGUAUAGAUUAUGGACAGCACAACAGGGAUGGGGGCUGCCUCCCUCACGCACUGCUGAAGCAUUCCCAUCCACUCACACUGCGGUGGGACAGAGAGACGAGAGAAAGGUAGAAAGGAGACAAAGAAAUCACAACUGAGAACUGCACUUGGGAGAAGACUGCAACUUCCAGGACUUAGCCGAAGUCCCCCAAGACAGCCAUGCCUGUGCUAGAGUUACACCUACUCUCUACCAGAUCCACCAUUAAAGACAAUUAAUUGGCUCAAUUAAGAAAGUAAGGUGUCGUCGUAGGUAGGCCUUGAGAUAAGGAGCAUGCCAAUGCCAACAGGCC